UCUAAAAUGGCAGAAUAGUGCAAUGAGCUUAAAAUUCAUAUAUAAAGGAAUCUUUUUUUAGAA
rnacentral:tRNA from 1 species